rnacentral:lncRNA from 1 species
UUUUGCAGUGGCUAGUACCGGUUGUUCCUUUCCAUGUUUAGUGCUUCCUUCAGGAACUCUUGUAGGGCAGGCCUGGUGGUGACUCAGCAUUUGCUUGUCUAUAAAGGAUUUUAUUUCUCCUUCACUUAUGAAGCUUAGUUUGGCUGGAUAUGAAAUUCUGGGUUGAAAAUUCUUUUCUUUAAGAAGGUUGAGUAUUGGCUCCCACUCUUGUAGAGUUUCUGCCAAGAGAUCCGCUGUUAGUCUGAUGGGCUUCCCUUUGUGGGUUACCCAACCUUUCUCUCCGGCUGCCCUUAAUAUUUUUUCCUUCAUUUCAACUUUGGUGAAUCUGACAAUUAUGUGUCUUGGAGUUGCUCUUCUUGAGGAGUAUCUUUGUGAUGUUCUCUGUAUUUCCUGAAUUUGAAUGUUGGCCUGCCUUGCUAGGUUGGGGAAGUUCUCCUGGAUAAUAUCCUGAAGAGUGUUUUCCAACUUGGUUCCAUUCUCCCCAUCACUUUCAGGUACACCAAUCAGACAUAGAUUUGGUCUUUUCACAUAGUCCCAUAUUUCUUGAAGGCUUUGUUCAUUUCUUUUUACUCUUUUUUCUCUAAACUUCUCUUCUCACUUCAUUUCAUUCAUUUGAUCUUCAAUCACUGAUACCCUUUCUUCCACUUGAUUGAAUCAGCUGCUGAAGCUUGUGCAUGCAUCACGUAGUUCUCCUGCCAUGGUUUUCAGCUCCAGCCUGAUCCUUCCUCUGGAAGCUUUGUCUCAGAGGGGCACCCAGUUGUAUGAGAUGUCAGUCGACCCUUACUGGGAAGUGUCUCCCAGUUAGGCUACUCAGGGGUCAGGGACCCACUUAAGGAGGCAGUCUGUCCAUUCUCAG